rnacentral:rRNA from 1 species
AUACGGAGGGUGCAAGCGUUAAUCGGAAUUACUGGGCGUAAAGCGCGCGUAGGCGGUUUGAUAAGUCGGAUGUGAAAUCCCCGGGCUCAACCUGGGAAUUGCAUUUGAUACUGUCAGGCUAGAGUGUGGUAGAGGGAAGUGGAAUUUCCGGUGUAGCGGUGAAAUGCGUAGAUAUCGGAAGGAACACCAGUGGCGAAGGCGGCUUCCUGGACCAACACUGACGCUGAGGUGCGAAAGCGUGGGGAGCAAACAGGAUUAGAAACCCUAGUAGUCC